CUUCCAAACAGCGUGUGUAUUUUAAAAUUUUAAAACUUUACUAAAAAACUGGUAACAAAUUGAAAACAAUGGUUACCUCUAAGAAAUGAAACAGAGGAGAAAGGAGGGCUUUCUUUCAGUUUUU
rnacentral:sRNA from 1 species